rnacentral:rRNA from 1 species
UACCGAGGGGGCAAGCGUUGUUCGGAAUUACUGGGCGUAAAGGGCGCGUAGGCGGCCUGCUAAGUCGAACGUGAAAUCCCCGAGCUCAACUCGGGAACUGCGUCCGAUACUGACAGGCUUGAAUCCGGGAGAGGGAUGCGGAAUUCCAGGUGUAGCGGUGAAAUGCGUAGAUAUCUGGAGGAACACCGGUGGCGAAGGCGGCAUCCUGGGCCGGCAUUGACGCUGAGGCGCGAAAGCUAGGGGAGCAAACGGG